AACAGGAUUAGAUACCCUGGUAGUCCACGCCCUAAACGAUGUCUACUAGUUGUCGGGUUUUAAUUAACUUGGUAACGCAGCUAACGCGUGAAGUAGACCGCCUGGGGAGUACGGUCGCAAGAUUAAAACUCAAAGGAAUUGACGGGGACCCGCACAAGCGGUGGAUGAUGUGGAUUAAUUCGAUGCAACGCGAAAAACCUUACCUACCCUUGACAUGGAAGGAAUCCUGGAGAGAUCCGGGAGUGCCCGAAAGGGAACCUUCACACAGGUGCUGCAUGGCUGUCGUCAGCUCGUGUCGUGAGAUGUUGGGUUAAGUCCCGCAACGAGCGCAACCCUUGUCGUUAGUUGCUACGCAAGAGCACUCUAAUGAGACUGCCGGUGACAAACCGGAGGAAGGUGGGGAUGACGUCAAGUCCUCAUGGCCCUUAUGGGUAGGGCUUCACACGUCAUACAAUGGUACAUACAGAGGGCCGCCAACCCGCGAGGGGGAGCUAAUCCCAGAAAGUGUAUCGUAGUCCGGAUUGUAGUCUGCAACUCGACUACAUGAAGUUGGAAUCGCUAGUAAUCGCGGAUCAGCAUGUCGCGGUGAAUACGUUCCCGGGUCUUGUACACACCGCCCGUCACACCAUGGGAGCGGGUUUUACCAGAAGUAGGUAGCUUAACCGCAAGGAGGGCGCUUACCACGGUAGGAUUCGUGACUGGGGUGAAGUCGUAACAAGGUAACC
rnacentral:rRNA from 1 species